UUCCCUCAUAAGUCAAAACACACUUACUACAUUUUUCUUUUUAAUCUUCAAUUUCCUCCUUCUUGUGAAUAUUGGAUGGCUAAAUCAAUGGAGGAAAAACCUAAGCUCCUCUUCCAUGGAACAAUUCAAGCUACCAUCUUCAAUGCCACACCUUACUCACCUUCGUUUCCCUUCAAUUGUGUAUGUACAAAUGGAAAGCCUGCUUAUGUGACCAUCAACAUAGAUAACAAGAAGGUGGCGAAAACGACUCAAGAACGUGAAUGUUUGUGGAACCAAACCUUUCAGAUUCAGUGUGCUCAUCCAGAAGACUCAACAAUCACAAUUACACUGAAAUCAUCAUGCUCCAUUUUGGGGAGAUUUCACAUGCAGGCCAAGCGGUAGAAGGAAGAUAGUUUGAUCAAUGGUUUCUUCCCUCUCCUUAUGGAAAAUGGAAAACCAAUUCCACAGCUAAAAUUAAGAUUCAUGUUAUGGUUCAAGCCAGCAGAUAUGGAACCAAGCUGGACAAAGCUACUAAGCAAUGGGAAAUUUCAAGAGCUGAGGGAUGCUACAUUCCCACAAAGGUCUAAUUGCCAGGUUAAACUCUAUCAUGAUGCUCACCAUUCCUCUACUUUCCACCCUCCUUUUGAUCUAUGUGGAGCACCAAGAAAGCUGUGGGAAGAUGUCUAUAAAGCCAUUGAGGGUGCAAAAUAUUUGGUUUUUAUUGCAGGCUGGUCUUUCAAUCUCUAGAUGGUUCUGGUUAGAGAUCCUCAAACAGAAAUCCCACAUGCUAGGGAGAUAAAGCUAGGUGAGCUAUUGAAGAAGAAGGCAGAGGAAGGAGUGGCUGUGAGGGUUAACAAAAUUGUAAAGAAUAUUUAAUCUAUAUAUACAAAAAAAUUUAACAAAUUAUUCGUUCUAUCUAGAAAUAAAUAAUAUAUGUAGAGUACCAACAAGUUGUUGAUCCAAGUGAUAUUAGACUCGA